GCGCGGAGCCCACGGCCUCUGAAAACACCCAGCGCGCACUGUUUCACGUCCGCGUCCCUGUCGGUGCAGAUUCCUCCACUGACUUCGAUCAUCUGCGUCCAGAUUUUAAAGAUGCGCUCUUAGAAUUUAAAAAAUAAAUAAAUAAAAAGACGAGCCACCGGAGCCUGUUCUCACCAGCACUGGCCGAUUUUUACGCGUCUACAACAGCGCGCACCGCAGAUGGAUGCAUGGGUGGAUGGAAAUACGGAUGGAUGGAUUUGCAAAGCCUCCGGGCGGAUAAGAAGCGUGAAUCCUGCGCCUCGUCUUGCAGGAAAAGCGAAACAUGUCGUUGACCCACAUUCCCGAGUACCAAGUUCGUGGAGGAGGAAGCGCAUGUUAGCCGAAUAAAUAUAGACCCGGGGAGAUGUUAUUAUUAAGCGGGAAGCGAGUGGAUCGUCUGUUUCGGGAAGGGGACGUUUGAAACAGCUGUGAUUCAAACAGCAGCUGCUGGGUGGGACGGAGGCAAACUGAAAUAGACUCCGAGCUCUGCCAGCCUGACCCACUGUAAACCAAUGAAUCACGACAUUUGACUUAAGCACAGAGAGACUCUGACGCUAAAGUCCAAGGAGCCGGAUGUCAGCGCCUCAGAUAAUGUCUAAACAAAGGAGCCAGAGAGAUAAGGAUCUGAAGUAUCCUGAGAUGUGCCCCACCCUAAGUUUCAUCUACCGUCAUCCAUCUCCAGCCUCACGUCCAGUCUACCAGUAAAUCCUACAGAUAAUUCCAUCCACCCGUCAUUGUGAGUGAAUGUUCUGCAGCAGGAGAAAUCACAUUUUCCA